ACAGAGGUCCCGAGCGUUGUUCGGAUUCACUGGGCGUAAAGGGUGCGUAGGUGGUGAUGAAGGUUUGAUGUGAAAUCUCCGAGCUUAACUCGGAAAAUGCAUUGAAAACUACAUUGCUAGAGGUUUGGAGGGGGGACUGGAAUACUUGGUGUAGCAGUGAAAUGCGUAGAUAUCAAGUGGAACACCAGUGGCGAAGGCGAGUCCCUGGACAACACCUGACACUGAGGCACGAAAGCUAGGGGAGCAAACAGGA
rnacentral:rRNA from 1 species